rnacentral:rRNA from 1 species
UUCCCCCAGUAACGGCGAGUGAAGCGGGAAGAGCUCAAGUUUGAAAUCCAGCGUCUGGCGCCGGCGCCGGAGUUGUAACCUAGAGGUGCGGUUCGCCCGCCGUUGGGGCUGCGGCUAAGUCCGAUUUGAAAAGGGCACCAAGGAGGGUGGCAGUCCCGUUCGUGCCGUAGCCCCUUCGUCGAUGUGGCCCGCUUCCGACGAGUCGAGUUGCUUGGGAUUGCAGCUCAAAGUGGGUGGUAAACUCCAUCCAAAGCUAAACACGCGUGGGAGACCGAUAGCGAACAAGUACCGUGAGGGAAAGAUGCAAAGAACUUUGAAAAGAGAGUCAAAGAGUGCCUGAAAUUGCUGAGAGGGAAGCGAAGGAAAGUAGUGUCGACCGAGGGGAUCUUGCACACGGAGAACGGUCCCCUGGGGCCCUCCCCGUUAUCCCCCGCGCUGUCAGGGGCGGGUGCGGCCAAGUCGGUGGCUGCGGCAUCAUUAAGUACAGGUAUUCCGAGGUAACAGCCGGUUAAAUGCUAUGAGUCCCUAUGUAUGGCGCCCCGCCCGCGGCCGUCCCUGACGAAAUGUUUUUCUUUACCCCGUCUUGA